CGGUAACAGGAAGAAGCUUGCUUCUUUGCUGACGAGUGGCGGACGGGUGAGUAAUGUCUGGGAAACUGCCUGAUGGAGGGGGAUAACUACUGGAAACGGUAGCUAAUACCGCAUAACGUCGCAAGACCAAAGAGGGGGACCUUCGGGCCUCUUGCCAUCGGAUGUGCCCAGAUGGGAUUAGCUAGUAGGUGGGGUAACGGCUCACCUAGGCGACGAUCCCUAGCUGGUCUGAGAGGAUGACCAGCCACACUGGAACUGAGACACGGUCCAGACUCCUACGGGAGGCAGCAGUGGGGAAUAUUGCACAAUGGGCGCAAGCCUGAUGCAGCCAUGCCGCGUGUAUGAAGAAGGCCUUCGGGUUGUAAAGUACUUUCAGCGGGGAGGAAGGGAGUAAAGUUAAUACCUUUGCUCAUUGACGUUACCCGCAGAAGAAGCACCGGCUAACUCCGUGCCAGCAGCCGCGGUAAUACGGAGGGUGCAAGCGUUAAUCGGAAUUACUGGGCGUAAAGCGCACGCAGGCGGUUUGUUAAGUCAGAUGUGAAAUCCCCGGGCUCAACCUGGGAACUGCAUCUGAUACUGGCAAGCUUGAGUCUCGUAGAGGGGGGUAGAAUUCCAGGUGUAGCGGUGAAAUGCGUAGAGAUCUGGAGGAAUACCGGUGGCGAAGGCG
rnacentral:rRNA from 1 species